AUGAAUUUUUGGGUCUAUUUAGUUUUCGUGGUGGCAGCUUUGCCAGGUGCCCGGUCCCAGGUGCAGCUGGUGGAGUCCGGAGGGGAUGUGAAGAAGCCCGGAGACUCUCUGCGCCUCUCCUGCAAAGCCUCCGGCUUCACCUUCAGCAGCUACACUAUGAGGUGGGUCCGACAGGCUCCCGGGAAGGGGCUGGAGUGGAUCUCUUCUAUCAGCGGCGAUGGGGAUACUCCGUACUACCUUGAUACGGUGAAAGGCCGAUUCACCAUCUCAAGGGACAACCCCAACAACCUGCUGCACCUGCAAAUGACCGGCCUGAAGCCCGAGGACACCGCCCGCUAUUACUGUGCGGGAGACACAGCGACACGAAACAUAUUGUUGUUCAUGCAAAAACCCAGGCUGCAGAACCCGCGGCCGCCACGCGGGGGCAGCAGAGACACAAAGAACCGGGCGCUGGGCACAGAACCGAGAACAAGCUUCGGUGGAUGA